UACGGAGGGUGCGAGCGUUACCCGGAAUCACUGGGCGUAAAGGGCGUGUAGGCGGGUGAGUAAGUCUGACUUCAAAGGCAACGGCUCAACCGUUGUAGGGGGUUGGAUACUGUUCAUCUAGACCUCUGGAGAGGCAACUGGAAUUCUUGGUGUAGCGGUGGAAUGCGUAGAUACCAAGAGGAACACCGAUGGCGAAGGCAGGUUGCUGGACAGAAGGUGACGCUGAGGCGCGAAAGUGUGGGGAGCGAACCGG
rnacentral:rRNA from 1 species